ACUCCUACGGGAGGCAGCAGUGGGGAAUCUUAGACAAUGGGCGCAAGCCUGAUCUAGCCAUGCCGCGUGUGUGACGAAGGUCUUAGGAUCGUAAAGCACUUUCGCCGGGAAGAUAAUGACGGUACCCGGUAAGCAAGACCCGACCGUAUAUCCGUGCCAGCAGCCGCGGUAAUACGGAGGGGUUAGCGUUGUUCGGAAUUACUGGGCGUAAAGCGCGCGUAGGCGGACUGGAAAGUU
rnacentral:rRNA from 1 species